UGUUUUUAUAGUUUUCAUUGUAGGGGUCUUUCACCUUCUUGGGCAAAUUUAUUCCUAGAUAUAUUUUAAAUAUUUUAUAGCUAUUUUAAAUGGGAUUGCUUUAUUGAUCCCAUUGAUUUCUUAUUCAGCUAGAUCAUUCUUGGUGUAUAAAGUACUACUAAUUUUUGCAUCCUAACUUUGUAUCCUGCAACUUUCCUGAAUUCAUUUAUCAGUUCUAAAAGUAUUUUUGGUGAAGUCCUUGGGUUUUUCUAUAUAUAAGAUCAUGACAUCCAUAACGAGGAUAGUGACUUCCUCCUUUCUAAUUCAAAUGCCCUUUAUUCCUUUAUUUUGCCUAAUUGCUAUGGCUGGGACUUCCAUUAGUAUGUUGAAUAACAGUGGUGGAAGUAAGUAUUUGUGUCUUGUUCCAGAUCUUAGAGGACAGACUUUCAGCUUUUCCCUCAUUAAGUAUGAUAUUAGCUGUGGGUUUGUCAUAUAUUGCCUUUUAUUGUUUUGAGAUAUGUUUCUUCUUUGCCUAAUUUCCUGAGAGUUUGUAUCAUGAAGUGAUGCUGAAAUUUAUCAAAUGCUUUUUCUGCAUCUAUUGAGAUCAUUGUAUGGGUUUUGUUCUUUAUUCUAUAUCACAGUGAUUGACUGGCAUGUGUUGAACCAUCCUUGCAUGCCUGGGAUAAGUCUCACCUGAUCAGGGAGUAUUAUCUCUUUAAUGUGUUGUUGGGUUCAGUUUGCUAGUAUUUUGUUGACAACUUUUGCCUCUGAGUUCACUGGGGAUUUUGGCCUGUAGUUGCUCUUUUGGUGUGUCUGGUUUGGGCAUUAGGCCAAUGCUGACCUGGUAGAAUGAAUUAGGAAGAAUUCUCUCAACUUCCAGUUUUUUAGAAUAGUUUAAAAAGAAUUGGUGUUAGUUCUUUUUUAUAUGUUUGGUAGAAUUCAGAGGUAAAGUCAUCUGAUGCUGGGCCUUUCUUUGUUGGGAGACUUUAUUACUGAUUCCAUCGUUUACCAACUUUGUGAUGAUAAUAAGCAAGUUACUUUACUACUCUUAGGCUUUUUAUUUUCUUAUCUAUAAAUUGAGGAUGGUAAUAAUAUCUAUCUUACACAGGUAUUACAUGUAAAGCUUGACAUGUUAAGCAGAUGUUACAUAUUAUUAUUGAUGUAUUUUAAUAAAUUUGAGAAUAGAAUAAUGUAGCAUAGGCCUAAGAGUUAGGCUAUGAGUUGGGAAAUGCACGAUACAUAGUUGUAACAUUAAAUAGGAAAGGACAGAUACUUUAUAGAGUUAAAUAGGAAAGGACAGAAACAUUAUAGAUGAAGAUUUUAAAAUUUUAUAUAGCUUU